rnacentral:rRNA from 1 species
GAGUAGUAAUAGUUAAGAUCUUGAAACUCAAAAAAUUUGGCGGUAUUUUAUCUUAUUAGAGGAACCUGUUUAUUAAUUGAUAUUCCACAACUUUAAUUUACUUUUAUUAAAUUAUUUGUAUACCGUUGUCAUGAAUCUAUUAAAAAAUAAUUUUCAUAUUUUUUUAUGGAAUGCAUGUUAGAUCAAGGUGCAGUUUUUAAAAGAAAAAAAUGGGUUACUAUAGUUACAAUGAAUGAAAAUUAUAAAAAUGGAAUUAUGAUAGAAAUAGGAUUUAACAGUAAAUAAAUAAAUAAAGAAUUUUGAUGAAUAAAGAUUCUAAAAUAUG